AAACCAUGAUGGGGGCAGAGCCUAAGCAUUUCCUUGAAAUGCUCCCACGCUGUAAAGAUAUUCCCUAUCUUUUUUAGUGAAUUGUGUGAUUUGAUCCCUCAAUUG
rfam:Medicago truncatula strain A17 chromosome 6, whole genome shotgun sequence.